rnacentral:rRNA from 1 species
CGGAGGGAUCAUUGCUGGAACGCGCCCCUGGCGCACCCAGAAACCCUUUGUGAACUUAUACCUUACUGUUGCCUCGGCGCAGGCCGUCCUUACGGGACCCUUGGCAACAAGGAGCAGCCGGCCGGUGGCCAAGUUAACUCUUGUAUUAAUUUGUCUCUCUGAGCAUAAACAUAAAUGAAUCAAAACUUUCAACAACGGAUCUCUUGGUUCUGGCAUCGAUGAAGAACGCAGCGAAAUGCGAUAAGUAAUGUGAAUUGCAGAAUUCAGUGAAUCAUCGAAUCUUUGAACGCACAUUGCGCCCUCUGGUAUUCCGGAGGGCAUGCCUGUUCGAGCGUCAUUUCAACCCUCAAGCCUGGCUUGGUGUUGGGGCACUGCUUUACCCACAAGCAGGCCCUGAAAUAUAGUGGCGAGCUCGCCAGGACUCCGAGCGUAGUAGUUAAACCCUCGCUUUGGAAGGCCUGGCGGUGCCCUGCCGUUAAACCCCAACUUUUGAAAAUUUGACCUCGGAUCAGGUAGGAAUACCCGCUGAACUUAAGCAUAU